GAUGAAGAACGUAGUGAAAUGCGAUAAGUAGUGUGAAUUGCAGAAUUCAGUGAAUCAUCGAAUCUUUGAACGCACAUUGCGCCCCCUGGCAUUCCGGGGGGCAUGCCUGUCCGAGCGUCAUUUCUGCCCUCCAGCCCGGCUGGGUGUUGGGCGCUGUCCCCCCGGGGACACGCCCCAAAGGCAGUGGCGGCGCCGCGUCGGGUCCUCGAGCGUAUGGGGCUUUGUCACCCGCUCGGGACGGACUCGUCGGCGCUGGUCUUCCUCCAGGCGACCCUUCGGGGCUCGUCUUCCUUCGGUUGACCUCGGAUCAGGUAGGGUUACCCGCUGAACUUAAGCAUAUCAAUAAGCGGAGGA
rnacentral:misc_RNA from 1 species